UCAUGGUUCCUAGUCGGAUUCUUUAACAGUCACAAUGGGAACUCCAGAAGCCCCUUUUCUAUAUAACAAAGGUUCAGUUCCCCCCACAGGUCUUUAGAAAUGUGAGUCAUUGUCACGCUACAGCUAUUAGAAGUCUGAACACCUCCAGGAAAACCGCAGUGUCCAACCCCAGCGACCCGUCCACCUUCCCUGCUGGCAGAUCCCCGUGGCAACCGAGGCCAAGUUCAAGGUGGUGGUGCGGCUUUGAUGGAUGGUCUGUGCCUCCCCAAGGCCCAGCUCAGAACCCGGCCUGCGACAGGUGCUUAAAACAUAUCAACUGAAGGAUGAGGCCAAGGAGAGCAGUUCCCCGAAGUAAAGGCCGUGCCACCUGAUGCUGCAUAACUAUUACCCUCUAGAGAAUUUUCAAAAAAGAAUAUGAACAGAGAAGCAUUUUUGUUCUACAGAGCAAAAAGUCUGCAAUACAAAAAUGAGAAUUCACUGAAAUUGUCCACGGAGGGCUGCUGAAAGCGUAUGUGCAGCAAUAGAGACAUAGAGGACGUCCUCGCGGAUGAACAGGAGCCUGCCUGCUGAAGCCCUGUCCUCGCUCAUCUCUGCCAGCCGCCUCCUAGUUUCAGCUUCCUUCCUGAACCCCUCAGCUGUGUCACCAUAAAUUACUGGUGCAGAGGUUACCAACACUGGGUGUUCACUGUCUAUAUUAUGGAGCUUUAAAAAUACCAGUGUCUGGGCCCCACCCCAGACCAUCAGCAGAAUUCUUAACUCUCGAAAGCUUUUCUGAUGACCCUUGAAAGCAUCUCAGGUUGAGAACCGCUGAUGAAACCGCAUUUCCUGGGAGACCCGCUCCCUCCCAACACCCCAUCCAGUUUCUAAGGUGCCUACCGCUGGACUACACUGCUCUGCAUUCAUUGAUGUGUACUCUUUACUUUUUUGAGGCGGCUUUUCUCUCUCCUUAGAUUACAACCUAUUUGGAGGCAUAAAUCUUUUUUUUAUGAUUUUUCUUCUAAGUCCAUAACUAGUUUAGUACUCAAUUUAAUAAAAGCUGGAAGUUACCUUAAAAAAUGUUGUCAGUC